rnacentral:rRNA from 1 species
UACGAGGGGAGCAAGCGUUGUUCGGAAUUACUGGGCGUAAAGGGCCCGUAGGCGGCCAACUAAGUCAGACGUGAAAUCCCCGGGCUCAACCCGGGAACUGCGUCCGAUACUGGAAGGCUUGAAUCCGGGAGAGGGAUGCGGAAUUCCAGGUGUAGCGGUGAAAUGCGUAGAUAUCUGGAGGAACACCGGUGGCGAAGGCGGCAUCCUGGACCGGCAUUGACGCUGAGGCGCGAAAGCCAGGGGAGCAAACGGG